rnacentral:tRNA from 1 species
GCCCUUGUAGUGUAGUUUGGACAUCACAUCGGCUUGCGGAGCCGAUAACCCCGGUUCAAAUCCGGGCAGGGGCG